ACGUUGAAACACCGGUUCCCGUACGAUCACCGAAGUUAAGCAACUCCGAGCCUGGUCAGUAUCUAGAUGGGUGGACGCUUGGGAAAAACCUGGGGCUGUAAG